rnacentral:lncRNA from 1 species
AUGAUACUGGUAUAUGAACCUCAGAAUCUUUGGUGCCUGCAGUCCAACUGGAUACUUACAAAUGACCUGCCACAGUCACUGCAAGGGAGAUACAGGAACUUUAACAGAUCUCAGAAAUACCUGAAAGUAAGACAACAGCUCUUAAACUCUAUUGGAGUUAGUCCAUCUGCAACUGAACACAAUAUGCUAUGGAUGCCAAAAAAGGCAAAAAAUCCCAACCUAAACCAGAGGUCCUAAAGUGCUGACAAAAAUUUGAAAUGCUUUCUGUUGAAGAGAACACAGAGGAAACAGCUUCCACCUUUAUGGAUGAAUACAAUGACCCUGGAAUAAUGAUAAGAAGGCAUAGAAAAUCUCUUCUCUAGUCACCAAAUGUUAAAUGGCUAUCUUUGCUCUGCUUUGUGCUGAAUUUGGCAUGCAAUAUGUGUCAAACUUAAAACUACAUAGAAUAACUUGAAAGAACGCUGUAUUUUGCAUCAAUAUGGUAUGUGCUCUUUUUCUCUUUACAUAGACCUCACACCACAGACAAGACAUAACUUCACUUCUAUUUUGGCAUAUCUGCUGUAUGCAGCAUCCAAGGUUUCUCUUUUGAAUAGUUUUACUAGAUCUGAUCUGAACGUAUGAGAUUGGUGCUCCACUGCAUCAAAGAUACUGUUGUAGCUGUCAGUGAGGCACACUGCUCUGACUAGCUUACAGUCUAACUUGGUAAGAAAGGAGAACAUCAUAUCUAAUACAG